AACUCUGAUGCAGCGAUGCCGCGUGAGUGAAGAAGGCCCUUGGGUUGUAAAGCUCUUUCGUCGGGGAAGAAAAUGACUGUACCCGAAUAAGAAGGUCCGGCUAACUUCGUGCCAGCAGCCGCGGUAAUACGAAGGGACCUAGCGUAGUUCGGAAUUACUGGGCUUAAAGAGUUCGUAGGUGGUUGAAAAAGUUGGUGGUGAAAUCCCAGAGCUUAACUCUGGAACUGCCAUCAAAACUUUUCAGCUAGAGUUUGAUAGAGGAAAGCAGAAUUUCUAGUGUAGAGGUGAAAUUCGUAGAUAUUAGAAAGAAUACCAAUUGCGAAGGCAGCUUUCUGGAUCAUUACUGACACUGAGGAACGAAAGCAUGGGUAGCGAAGAGGAUUAGAUACCCUCGUAGUCCAUGCCGUAAACGAUGUGUGUUAGACGUUGGAAAUUUAUUUUCAGUGUCGCAGCAAAAGCGAUAAACACACCGCCUGGGGAGUACGACCGCAAGGUUAAAACUCAAAUGAAUUGACGGGGACCCGCACAAGUAGUGGAGCAUGUGGUUUAAUUCGAAGAUACGCGCAGAACCUUACCAACACUUGACAUGUUCGUCGCGACUCUAAGAGAUUAGAGUUUUCGGUUCGGCCGGACGAAACACAGGUGCUGCAUGGCUGUCGUCAGCUCGUGUCGUGAGAUGUUGGGUUAAGUCCCGCAACGAGCGCAACCCUCACUUUUAGUUGCCAUCAUUAAGUUGGGCACUCUGAAAGAACUGCCAGUGAUAGGCUGGAGGAAGGUGGGG
rnacentral:rRNA from 1 species